UAUUGUAUUCAUCAAAAACAUUGUAUAUAUGGGAAAGAAGAGACUAAGUAAUUUAAGGUUACAGACUUUCAUGUAAGUAGAAGCUAUGCAAAUAUGCUUUUUUGUUCAUUGAAAAAUUGUCUUUGAUCUUUAGGUACAAAAGGGGUCAGUCUUUGUUUUCUUUUUUUUUCCUCAUAGAAAAUCAAAUCCAGGAAACAACCAAAAGGUAGAAUGGCUUUCUCCUUUCUAAUAAACAAAGUUUUCUUAGGGCUCUUCAUCUUGGCAGUAACUGGUUACACAGGUGAGCAAUUUUCUGAGUCCUUGGAGUGGAACCAUUGAUAUUUCAGAAACUUCUGUGGGGAACUAAUAUUUUCUGUUGCUUGAAAUAUAUUGUUCUUCUCUCUUUGAGUUCUAGUUUUAGAUCAAAAUGGGAAACUCUUUUAAAAGAUUUGAUUUGCCAAACAGAUAUUUUCAUCAAUGCCUUUAGCAAUGGAAGAAUUCAACCUGACUGCAAGCAGUUUGAAAAACUACCACCACACGUAUGUGACAAAAAUUAUGAUCCUGUCUGUUCUACAAAUGGCAAAACACAUCGCAAUGAAUGUGAAUUUUGCAAUGUUGUUAGGGACACCCUAGACACAGUUAAAUUUAAGCAUUAUGGUCACUGCUAUCAUGUUCUCUGAUUAUAUGGACCUGGGACCCACUGCACAGCUGUUGUUCUUCUCAUCUAAUGCCAGGAAGUGUAUAAUCACUGUUUCUGUUGCUUUUUACUCGAAUGUUGCAAGAAAUAUUGUUUGUUCUAUUUGUAUCUGUUAAAAUUAAAUAAUUUUAAACCCUGAA